CGACGCCGCGUGGGUGAAGAAGGCCUUCGGGUUGUAAAGCCCUGUCACGGGGGACGAUAGUGACGGUACCCUGGGAGGAAGCCCCGGCUAACUACGUGCCAGCAGCCGCGGUAACACGUAGGGGGCGAGCGUUGUCCGGAAUUACUGGGCGUAAAGGGCGCGUAGGCGGUUAGCCGUGUCAGGUGUGAAAGGCUGGGGCUUAACCCCAGACCUGCACUUGAGACUGGCUAACUUGAGGGCAGGAGAGGCAGGUGGAAUUCCUGGUGUAGCGGUGAAAUGCGUAGAUAUCAGGAGGAACACCGGUGGCGAAGGCGACCUGCUGGACUGGCCCUGACGCUGAGGCGCGAAAGCGUGGGGAGCGAACAGGAUUAGAUACCCUGGUAGUCCACGCUGUAAACGAUGGGUACUAGGUGUAGGGGGUUAUGAUACCCUCUGUGCCGUAGCUAACGCGAUAAGUACCCCGCCUGGGGAGUACGGCCGCAAGGUUGAAACUCA
rnacentral:rRNA from 1 species